rnacentral:rRNA from 1 species
AGUGAACGCUGGCGGUAGGCCUAACACAUGCAAGUCGAACGGCAGCACAGUAAGAGCUUGCUCUUACGGGUGGCGAGUGGCGGACGGGUGAGGAAUACAUCGGAAUCUACUUUUUCGUGGGGGAUAACGUAGGGAAACUUACGCUAAUACCGCAUACGACCUACGGGUGAAAGCAGGGGAUCUUCGGACCUUGCGCGAUUGAAUGAGCCGAUGUCGGGUUAGCUAGUUGGCGGGGUAAAGGCCCACCAAGGCGACGAUCCGUAGCUGGUCUGAGAGGAUGAUAAGCCACACUGGAACUGAGACACGGUCCAGACUCCUACGGGAGGCAGCAGUGGGGAAUAUUGGACAAUGGGCGCAAGCCUGAUCCAGCCAUACCGCGUGGGUGAAGAAGGCCUUCGGGUUGUAAAGCCCUUUUGUUGGGAAAGAAAAGCAGCAGGUUAAUACCCCGCUGUUCUGACGGUACCCAAAGAAUAAGCACCGGCUAACUUCGUG